ACGAACCACCAGUGCUCUCUCUCUCUCUCUCUCUCUCGUCUGUGUAUCAUUUUCAAAUCACAAAGCAAAUGGAGGGAAAAUAAUCGAUUCCUGCAACAAUUCAUUCCUAAGAAGUAAGAAGUACCAAACACUAGUUAUCAAUGGCGGAAUUCCUAAGCCCUAAUCCAACAACUGUUCACAAAAAGAAGCUUCCCAUCUCCACAACAAAUUUCUUCGUCGGCUCCAACGACGACCAACUCGAACGCGCCGCUGCUCGUGCUGCUCGUGUUGCCGCUAUCCGCCGUAAUUCCUGUGCCGUUAACUUCAAACCUCAACCCGCCGAUUCGGAUCCUGUUCUCAACAAGCAGCAGAUUCUCGAGUUAUUCCGAAAUUGCAUUAAGCUUGCUUCAGAAAAUAAAAUUAAUCAGAAAAAUACAUGGGAUUUGGAUUUGAUUGAUCAUCUUACUGAUAUUAUUAGGGCUGACGAUGAUAGUAAUGACGCGGAAACUAAUUUUCAAAUGGCAAGCUGCACCCUUGAAGCUGGAGUCAAAAUUUAUUCAUUAAGGGUGGAUUCGGUGUAUUCCGAGGCAUAUAAAGUUCUUGCUAGAAUGAAUAGGGCAGGCUAUGAAACGGAGCAAGACACUACUCUAGAGAGUGCUAAUGCUGAAGGUGGGCAAGAAGAUAGCAAGAAGGGAAUCGUAAAAAAAUUGUCACCUUUGUCAACAUUGGAAUCAUCUUUUGAGGUUCUUAAUGUAAAGAAGUUUGAUGUUGCAUUUGCUGUGGAUCCCCUCUAUCGCCAAACAUCAGCAAAAUUUGAUGAAGGGGGAGCUAAAGGUCUUUUGAUGAAUAACCUUGGUGUAUAUGGUAGAUGUAGGGUGCUCUUUGAUUCACUAGAUGUGCCAGGGACGUAUGUAGCUAGUCAAAAUGAACAUGAUAUUUCAGAUGUAAUUGAUCUUUCUUUUGCACAAGAUUGUGUUGAACAGAUGGUAAUGGACAUGGAUAUUAAGGAUGCAAUUUCUCCAACUCUCAGGGUGAUAGUAAAUCAAUUUGAUGAAAAUAAUAGAAGGCCCUCCGAUUUUCAAUUUCAUGGCCAAAAUUCAGCAGAAGAGUUUGAUGCAGCUAUUGAUUGUGAAGGUGGGGCUGAAUCAGAAGAAGACCACGAGAACUUCCCAAGUUGGCCUUAUGAACAUGACAACCAAACAUUUGUUGCUGAACUGGGCUCUAAUGAUGUAGACCCAAAUUUUUCAAGUUAUCCUCAGGAGAAAGAACCUUUUCCUUCCCAAGACCCUGAAAUGGAUGAAAUAUUUGGAAAUGUUGAUGAGUGUCUAUUUGCUAGUCUGGGUUUUAGGUCAAAGAAAAAUGCGUGGGCAGGUCCAGAUCAUUGGCAGUACCGAAAAACUAAAGGUUCAGAGUCAGAAGUUCAUUGUUCUUCUGAAGAUGGGUCAACCCUCAAAACUAGGCGGUCAAGGACUAUGAGACAGAUCGAAGUUGAUUUAAAUUUCACAAAUUUUCUUGGAAAAACACUUCCAGAUAUCUUUGCUCCUCCCAAGAAUCAUAAAUCGUUAUUACUCCCUAAAAAUAGACCCGUUUGUGUUACAAAACUCCCAGAGGACUGCCACUAUGAGCCAGAGGAUCUUGUCAAGUUAUUUCUUUUGCCUAAUGUUAAGUGUAUUGGGAGGAGGACGAGAAAGUUCUCAGAUGCAGAUGGAUCGACUGAGCAAUGCAAUAACAAUGAACCAUUCAAUUCAUGGGAUAAUGGAAGUGUUUGUGAUGGUGAGUAUGAUGGUGCACAUAGUGAUAUGGAUGACUCAAGCACACUUAUUUCUCCGCCUCGUCAGAUGAAAUCUUUCAUGAAGAUAUAUAUAUUCCUCAUCAUUAAUUUUAAUUUCAAUACACAAUUUUCCCAAAAGGUAAUGCCAUUGGAGUUAUGUCUUAAGUUUGAAUAUUUCAAAAUACCACAGAUCAACAAAAUUGAAGUUCAAUAUGACAAAACGUCCAAACAAGUUGAUGUUCAGGCACUGAAAUUUACUCUUUGGAACUGUAUUCAAGAAAUUCAAGAAUCCGUUCAACUUCCUUUACAGGGUGAGAAAGAAAUGGCGUCUUUCAGGCAUAUAUUGGCCAACUUUCCUAGUGAAUGCAAUGCUGCUGCAACUGUUACUGACAUAUCUCCACAUUUGUGUUUCAUAUGCCUCUUGCAUUUGGCUAAUGAGAAAGAGUUGAGCAUCCAAAGCUGCCCAAACUUGGAUGAUCUUCACAUAUAUAUGCCUAACUGAUGUUGUUACCUCUAAAAGUGGAGCAGUUUAGACACUCACAGCUUCAUUUCAGUAAGUAGGAAAUAUUUUGAGUUAUUUGGAUACAAAGUUGAUAUCGUAUGGCGGAUACCGUAUAAAACAAGGCUUAAUUUUAAAUGUAAGAUCAGAUCGUAUGGCUUAAUUUUAUUUGAACCACCGACCACGUCGAUUUUGAUCAGGUAAGAUCAGACUGUAAUAAACUAAGGCUUAAUUUUAAAUGUGUAACUCUGGCUUAACUUUUUUCUUUUAUAUAAAAAAGAUGAGGCUUAAAUUAAAUGUGUAAUAAUCCACAUCCACAUAUAUAUAUAGGCACGGCAUGUGGAGAGAAAAAAACAUAGUACUAUUAUAUACAGUAUAUAGUGUAUAAGGCCAAAUAAGGCCAAAACGUUUGUUUCCUUCACGAGUAUAUCACCCUUCAACGUGGUCCAUGGAGAGGCAUGGACUUGUUUGUCUUUCCCUUGAGUUUCAAUAAUGUAGUUCCCCCGUUAAUUUUAAAAUAGAAAAUAAAUAAAUCCAUCAAUAUUGUAGGAAAUGUAACCCACUUGGCGUUAGUCUAGUAGUGUUGGAUUGAGUCCUUGGAGUAUGCUCCUUUCAAGAUUUCAGUUUCGAUUCCCUCUGGUGUCAAUUUCGGUGGGCUAGUCCAUAUAGAGCAAAAAUACUCUGACUUUAAAUGGGAUCCCCACAAGUGAAUGGUGAGAUUGACCCUCUUGGAUUAGUCGGUCCUAGGGCCGGAUACCAAGUUUUUUUUUAAAAAAAAGUGAGAAAAAUGUACUAAAAGAAAAAGAAACAAACAGAAAAUAGUAC